GACGAACGCUGGCGGCGUGCUUAACACAUGCAAGUCGAACGGAAAGGCCCUGCUUUUGUGGGGUGCUCGAGUGCCGAACGGGUGAGUAACACGUGUGUAACCUGCCCUUGUCUUUGUGAUAACUUCAGGAAACUGGGGCUAAUACCCGAUAUGAGCUCCUGCUGCAUGUUGGGGGUUGGAAAGUUUCGGCGGUUGGGGAUGGACUCGCGGCUUAUCAGCUUGUUGGUGGGGUAGUGGCUUACCAAGGCUGUGAGGGGUAGCCGGCCUUAGAGGGUUAACGGGGACAUGGGGACUGCGAUACGGCGCAGUAGCGAAUGGGAGGCAGUAGUCGGGAACAUGGCACAGUGGGCGGAAGCCUGAUGUAGAAAUGCUGCGAGCGGGAUAAUGUGCUACGGGGUGUAAACAGCUGUGUAAGGUGCUGAAGAGUGAGUGACGGUAAUUGGUAAAAAAGCAACGGCUAACUACGUG
rnacentral:rRNA from 1 species